AGGUUUUAAAGCGAUUGAUUUCUUGGAGCAAAGAAGUCGCUUUUUAGGUUAAGAGUGACUCUAGGAAGAAUCUAUUACUUAUGUGUGGGUGUAAAGUGGCAGAUGGAAAUGGUGUUAUGCUGGUUACUGGUGUUAGAGUCAACACUUGAUGGGGUUUGCUGAUGGCCAGUAUCUCUGGAGACAUUGGUGAAGAAACCCUCUCACUGGUUAUUUUAGCUACUCUUAAAUGUUGUGCUAGUGAUUCUUCUGACUCAGCCAUAUCU